UGAGUGGCUAUUUAAUAGGGAAUUUGGUGAGAAUCCAAAACAGUUCCUGCUACCGUAAUGUCUUGAGGAGGUAGGUUGCCUCCGCCUUUCAGAUAUUCUCUGAAGCCACUGGAUUUACUCUGGGAAGGCUUUUCUAUUGAAAGGGAUAAGACUAAGUCGGGAGACCUGCCUACUUGCCU
rnacentral:ncRNA from 1 species